AUUGAACGCUGGCGGAAUGCUUUACACAUGCAAGUCGAACGGCAGCACGGACUUCGGUCUGGUGGCGAGUGGCGAACGGGUGAGUAAUGUAUCGGAACGUGCCCAGUCGCGGGGGAUAACGUAGUGAAAAUUACGCUAAUACCGCAUACGAUAUAUGGAUGAAAGCGGGGGAUCGCAAGACCUCGCGCGAUUGGAGGGGCCGAUAUCCGAUUAGGUAGUUGGUGGGGUAAAGGCCCACCAAGGCAACGAUCUGUAGCUGGUCUGAGAGGACGAACAGCCACACUGGAACUGAGACACGGUCCAGACUCCGACGGGAGGAAGCAGUGGGGAAUUUUGGACAAUGGGCGAAGGCCUGAUCCAGCCAUUCCGCGUGCAGGAUGAAGGCCCUCGGGUUGUAAACUGCUUUUGUACAGAACGAAAAGGUUUCUACUAAUACUAGGAGCUCAUGACGGUACUGUAAGAAUAAGCACCGGCUAACUACGUGCCAGCAGCCGCCGUAA
rnacentral:rRNA from 1 species